GCUGCUUUAUAAAGCUGAGCCCAGUGAAGGGAGAGUUUAUCAGUGACCAGGCACAGGGACAGGAGCAGACACCAUGAUUUCAGCCAUCCAGCUGAUCUGGCCUCUGGCAUUCUGCAUCGCAGGUAUCAGUGGGGACAUCACCAUGACCCAGACUCCCCCGGUGCUGUCAGUGAGCCUGGGCCAGACCGCCACCAUCACCUGUACAGCCAGUCAGUCUGUUAGCAGCUAUGUGAGUUGGUACCAGCAGCGAGAAGGACAGAAACCCAAUCUCCUGAUCUAUGGGGCAACAACUCGAUUCACAGGAACAUCCGAGCGAUUCACCGGCAGUGGAUCUGGCACUCAGUUCACCCUGACAAUCAGCAAUGUACAGAAUGAGGAUGUCGCUGAUUAUUACUGUAGGGAGAAGUCACCACCUACAGUGACUCUGCUGCCCCCCUCCCCAGAGGAGGUUAAGACCAAGGGCACUGCCACCCUGGUGUGCCUUGCCAAUCACUUCUAUCCCGAUGAGGUGAAGGUGGAGUGGAAGAAGGACGGUGCAGCCAUUUCGGACGAGGUUCAGACCAGCAACUACCUGCGAGCUUCGGACAGCACCUACAGCGUCAGCAGCCUGCUGACCCUCUCUGGCUCCGGCUGGGAGUCCAACGCCAGCUUCUCCUGUGUCGUCACCCACGAGAGUCUUUCCUCUCCCGUCAGAAAGAGCAUCAGGAGAUCAGAAUGUGCGUAGAGUGUUAGAGUCAGUCCACAGAGGAGAUACAACUUUAAAUAGAACAGGGGUGAGCUGGAAGGAAAAAGGUCAUUGUCAGCACAGAAUUACAAUUCUCUUCCUUCUCAGGACCGGCUCUGAGACACUUCUGAGGGUCAGGGGUUAAGGCACGUUAUUGGGGUAGUGUAAAGGGAGCUUUACUCUGCAUCUAACCCCGUGUUGUACCUGUCCUGGGAGUGUUUGAUGGGUCAGUUUAUACUCGUGAUGCUAAGUUAAACCUCUCUAAGAUGCUGAAGACUGUCAGCUGUACAAAAAUAAUGUGACCCUCCGAAGUGUCUGCUUCAGUAAACCAGACCCCUUCCUGCUCACCCUGCAGUUACAAUUUAAGGUUUAGUCACUGUUUAAAGGGACAGGAUUCUCAUGUUCUGGAGAAAAUCUCCACAAGCGUUUUAAUAAACCUCCAUUAUCCCUGUGAAUUUCUCCAGCUUCCUCUGGCUGGGCUGUUUAUUCAAGUCUUUUUUCUGUAAAUGUCAAUGUGUAAAAGGUAAUAAACAUUAAGAAUAUUCA